UACGAAGGGUGCAAGCGUUACUCGGAAUUACUGGGCGUAAAGCGUGCGUAGGCGGUUUGUUAAGUCUGUUGUGAAAGCCCCGGGCUCAACCUGGGAAUGGCAAUGGAUACUGGCAGGCUAGAGUGCGGUAGAGGGUAGUGGAAUUCCCGGUGUAGCGGUGAAAUGUGUAGAGAUCGGGAGGAACACCAGUGGCGAAGGCGGCUACCUGGACCAGCACUGACACUGAGGCACGAAAGCGUGGGGAGCAAACAGG
rnacentral:rRNA from 1 species